CACUAUUUCGCCAAUUGCCUUUCCACAUUGACACACAUGUGAAAACACUUUUAGAUAAUGAGUUCACUCACAAAUCAGAGGUUGAACACUAUAAAUAAGCCACAGGUAAACAUAAGGUUUGGACAACAAUGGAGGCCAAUAUUGGACAGAGAGUAAGAGGGGUGAAAACAAUUAGAGGAGGACGAGGAGGAGGAAGAAAUAAGAGGUGGAGUAGGACGGCGAAGAGGAAGGGGAGUCAGGAACACAAACUGAUGACAUCAGAGCGACUGUGGUUGACCAUGUUGUCAACCAUGGGAUGAGCAUGAGGGAGGCUGGGCAACGGGUUCAACCAAAUCUGAGCCGCUAUACUGUUGCAGGUAUCAUCCGGAUAUUUUGAAAUGAGAACCGAACUGCAAGAAAACCAGUAUCUGGUGGAAGAGGUCGACUGUUCACCCCAGAGCAGGAGACCCACAUUGUAAAUAUGGUCAUUGCAAAUAACUGCAUCAGACUCAGAGAACUGCAGGACCACAUAAUGGCAGAUAACACCAUGUUCCAAAACGUCAACACAGUGAGUCUCUCUGCACUGUCUCGUCUACUGAAACGCAAUAGAAUUAGGAUGAAGCAGCUGUACAGAGAGAGUCCCCUUUUGAAAGAAACUCAGACCGUGUAAAACAACUGAGAUAUGAAUAUGUGCAGAGAGUCAUGGAGCUAGAAGCAGAUGCUGUGCAUCAUGAGCUAAUAUAUGUGGACGAGGCAGGUUUCAACCUUGCAAAAAACAAGGGGCUGCGGCAGAAAUAUCAUCGGACACCGUGACAUCAUCAACGUCCCGGGACAACGUGGUGGCAACAUAACAAUGUGUGCGGCUAUUAGUCAAAACGGCGUCCUUCACCAUCAUGCAAUCCCAGGCCCAUACAACACUGCACGACACUCCACGCGAUACUUUCCACGCUGCCUAGCUCAAGACAGCAUCGCAUGUGAUGCGGAUGAAGU
rnacentral:lncRNA from 1 species